rnacentral:lncRNA from 1 species
UCAUUUUGAUAUAUGAUUUUUGAUUUUUGCAUUCCUGGAUUGUGAGAUAUGCUGUGAUCUUUAGAGGUGUGACAAUUUGUGUCACACUAUUUCUUGUGCAACUUCAUGAUUUUUGUUACCAUUCCAUAUGAACUCUAAAUGACUUGAAUUUUUGCACGUUGGAUCUCCUGGAUGUUAAGUUUGAAUGAGAAUUGUUGUGGAUUUUUUGAUUGCAUUUCCAAUUUGAUUGAG